AGCAGGAUGGGGAGAAGGCUUGGGUGUUUGUUUGAGGUGGGGAGGAAUAAAUCAUGUUGGAUGGCACUUUAGUUUUAAAGGCAAAAGUCCAAAGAGGGAAGGGAUAUGACUAGGAGGAAGGAGUGGUGCCAGAUGAUAAGCUUGUUGCUCAAUGGCUCACAAAAAUGUGGAGCUCACUCUGCACAUUACCAUGUAAAGGAGGGCCCAAAGUCUUCAACUCACCUAACUGCAGCACUGGGUUUACUGUGAGAUGAAUUCAUUGUUGCUGAUGAUGUCAAAGUGGUUGCCAUGGUGCGCCAAGACAAGCACAGUUCCAGGCUACUAUUAUGUCAUGCAGGAGUGUGAGGUGGAUGUUAUGGAGACGAAGGAGAACCAAGAUCAAACCCAUCUUGCAAAACUACACAAAGAUUUCUGAUGAAUAUUCCUAGGAACCCAGAAAUAUCCAGCCUUUCUUUCUGUAAUGGAGAAGGACACCACGGGGUCACCUCUGCUAUUGGCUCUCAAAACUCUCAGGCAGGUCCCUGUCAGGAAGUUGAAUAUGCGUAUCUUCCCAUCCGCACAGCCACUGAUGACUCUGAGAUAGAGAAAUCCCAGGGACAGAACCUCCCUACAAACAAGGAAAGUUGUUGAAAUACAACACUUGCUCUUAUGAGGACAA